UCUUGCUCGAAAGUAUUGGGUGUUCGCCGAAGGUUCUCUAUGUUUCACUGUGCUUCACAGCGACGAGGAAGAGUGCGAGAGGUAGGGGUGGGAAAUUUUGCCAUAAACCGAUUUACCAACUGAACCAUACAUGUCGGCUCAUAAUGAUAUGGUAUGGUUUUGGCAUUUUUUCAUAAUUGGUUGGCAUUUUACCGAACCAACAAUUAAUGGCAUGGCUUUGGUAAUUGAUUUUGUAUGUCGACCGUAUGCCAUACCUACCAAUAUAUAUAUAAAUUUUUUUUUUCUAUUUAGAUAUUUUAGGUAUUUUUAACAUGCUUGACUCCUUAGUUUUAGGGUUUAGAAAAUAAAUAACUCCUUAGUUUUAGGGUUUAAAAAAUAUGUGUAUAUGUAUAUGAUUCAUGCAAUAACAAAUAUAGAAAAUAUUGUUAACAAAAUUGAUAGCAUGAUGAUUACUGAUACUAUAUAUACACGUACAUAUAUAUGAUUUUGAAUGUAUAAUGUAUAUGUGUUGCUUAUGUUUAGGAUGAUGGAGUCUAGCCAAUCAACGGUUAAUGCACAACAUGGAUUAACCCAAAAUGAACCACAUAAUGCAACCGAACAAGCACCC
rnacentral:lncRNA from 1 species